UGCCCAANACCUAGCCUUUUACAUCUCCACU
rnacentral:piRNA from 1 species